UACGUAGGGGGCGAGCGUUGUCCGGAUUUAUUGGGCGUAAAGAGCGUGUAGGCGGCUUGUUAAGUCUUGCGUGAAAUCUCGGGGCUCAACCCCGAGCGGUCGUGAGAAACUGGCAGGCUAGAGUGCGGGAGAGGAGAGUGGAAUUCCUGGUGUAGCGGUGAAAUGCGCAGAUAUCAGGAAGAACACCCGUGGCGAAGGCGGCUCUCUGGAACGCAACUGACGCUGAGACGCGAAAGCGUGGGGAGCAAACAGG
rnacentral:rRNA from 1 species